rnacentral:lncRNA from 1 species
UAACUUGAACCUGUGGAGGGAAACGAAGCUUGAAGGAAGUGGCAAAUUCAAAAAAGCUUCAGAAAGCUGUUUUGUUAUUCAAAAGACGAAAGCAAAAGGAGGAUAUAAUUUAUUAUAUAAAAAACAUACAAGAAUAUGAUAUUUAAUUAAUAAAAAUUUAAAGGACAAACAACAUCAAAAGUAUGAAACCAACCAACAAUAUAAAACCAUAGCUUGCUC